UGGGGAAUAUUGGACAAUGGGCGCAAGCCUGAUCCAGCAACGCCGCGUGGAGGAUGAAGGUCUUCGGAUCGUAAACUCCUGUCAGACGGGACGAAGGUACGGGGGCGAAUAGUUCUCGUGCUUGACGGUACCGUCAGAGGAAGCCCCGGCUAACUCCGUGCCAGCAGCCGCGGUAAUACGGAGGGGGCGAGCGUUAUUCGGAAUUAUUGGGCGUAAAGGGCGCGUAGGCGGCCCGGUAAGUCAAAGGUGAAAUCCCUCGGCUCAACUGAGGAACUGCCUUUGAAACUGUCGGGCUUGAGUCCGGGAGGGGUAGCGGAAUUCCCAGUGUAGCGGUGAAAUGCGUAGAUAUUGGGAGGAACACCAGUGGCGAAGGCGGCUACCUGGACCGGUACUGACGCUGAUGCGCGAAAGCGUGGGUAGCAAACAGGAUUAGAUACCCUGGUAGUCCACGCUGUAAACGAUGGGUGCUCGGUGUCGCGGGUAUCGACCCCUGCGGUGCCUUAGCUAACGCGUUAGGCACCCCGCCUGGGGAGUACGGUCGC
rnacentral:rRNA from 1 species